rnacentral:rRNA from 1 species
UACGUAGGGCGCAAGCGUUGUCCGGAAUUAUUGGGCGUAAAGAGCUCGUAGGCGGCCUGUUGCGUCCGCUGUGAAAUCCCGGGGCUCAACCCCGGGCCUGCAGUGGAUACGGGCUGGCUAGAGGCAGGCAGGGGAGAACGGAAUUCCUGGUGUAGCGGUGAAAUGCGCAGAUAUCAGGAAGAGCACCUAUGGCGAAGGCAGCUCUCUGGGACGGUACUGACGCUGAGACGCGAAAGCGUGGGGAGCAAACAGG